UACGGGGGGUGCGAGCGUUGUCCGGAAUCACUGGGCGUAAAGGGCGCGUAGGUGGUUUGAUAAGGGUGUGGUGAAAGUCCGGGGCUCAACCCCGGAUCUGCCGUGCCGACUGUCAAACUCGAGGACUGUAGAGGCAGACGGAAUUCCUGGUGUAGCGGUGAAAUGCGCAGAUAUCAGGAAGAACACCCGUGGCUAAGGCGGUUCUCUAGUACGGUACUGACGCUGAGACGCGAAAGCGUGGGGAGCGAACAGG
rnacentral:rRNA from 1 species